rnacentral:misc_RNA from 1 species
UCCGAGUUGACCCCGGCAGUCUCCUACGAGUCCCCGGCCGAACCGCUGGCAACUGGGAGCGAGGGUUGCGCUCGUUGCGGGACUUAACCCAACAUCUCACGACACGAGCUGACGACAGCCAUGCAGCACCUGUGUGCAGGUCCCCGAAGGGAAGGAAUCCAUCUCUGGAAACCGUCCUGCCAUGUCAAGGACUGGUAAGGUUCUGCGCGUUGCUUCGAAUUGAACCACAUGCUCCACCGCUUGUGCGGGCCCCCGUCAAUUUCUUUGAGUUUCAGCCUUGCGGCCGUACUCCCCAGGCGGGGCACUUACUGCGUUAGCGACGGCACUCAGAGGGUCGCUCCCCCAAGCACCUAGUGCCCAUCGUUUACGGCGUGGACUAC